CACCACCACCAAACCAUAACCCUCCUUUUUUUUGUUUGUUGAUUUCUGAUUUGUCGGGAUUGGAGAUGUAAUUGCCACACUUCCUUGUUAUGCAUCAAGAACAUGGUCAUUGAUCAGUUCCCUUCAUAAUCAUUCUACGACACCCUUUCAAAGCCAUCCACACAUUCCUUUAUCUCCCUCACCUUCCUCCAUUGUUCGUUCACCGAGCACGGCGCUGCGAAGGUGACGGAACAAAGAUGCUACGGCCAUCGCAACGCGUUUCGUUUCGGUAUAUAUCUCCUUAUUCCGUAUGUUUUCUGUUGGCAUAUUUUCGUUCGAUUUAAUUGUUUAACCUGUUGGUGUAAUACAUUCAUAACAAUCUGCGUUUUUUUUGUUGUUCACUCAAUAAACGUUUCAACGGAGACACCUAAAACAUCAAGGACAAAGCCGACACCGGAACUCGUAUCGUCGCCGGAAAUCUGCCGGAGCGAACCGAGCUUGCCGGAUGGAGAUUCACAAUGGGAACCGUCACACGACGUCGAGCUUUUCAGAAUUCCUAGGGUUUUGAACAAAUUAACCUCUCCCCAAAAUUCACAGUCACGUUUCACAUCUCCCAGCAGGGCUUAGCAAUUCUCAGCUUUUUGAUUUUGAAGAACUGAUCCUGCUUUCUUGAUUGCCAUAAAUACAGGUUUUGGGUUUAGCGGGUUGGCUUCUUCGAGUUUUCAGAGGUGGAAAUGUAACCCGAUAACCGUACCAUUCUAGAUUCGGGUUCAAUCAUCUUUUUUUGAUUUUCUGGCCUACUCCAUUCCGCCUGUAAGAUGUUUCGGGUCGUCGUUCUUCCUCAUUCAAUUUGGUACACUUCAAGAGCUUGGACCUAAAUGAUCUAGUUGGUGGUACAGAGAUUGGACCAGAAUGGUGUAAGGUAAACGUUCAAGUACAAAUAAAAAAAGAUGAAAACUUGGUAAGACCAUAUGGUUUAUUUUCUACAAUUCAAGAUUGUAUUGGUGCAUCCAUCGCAUGGCCCUAUCCAUUCAUCUCGGUAGUCUAUGAGGAUUGAGGACACAUGAUGACUAAAGAUUUUAUGCUUCUUAUUUCUUUAAUUGCUUUUAAUUUCUUUGUUAAAUGUUAAGACUUUAUGUUAGAUAAUGUUAUAACUUAUUUAUGGUUAGUGUUUUUGUUAAGAACAUGCUUAUUUGAAGUAUAAUGAUUCUUUCAUUAGUUGAUGUUAUACAA